GCGGGUAGUGCAGCUCCUCGGCGUCCCCGGCUCCGGCUGCCGCGGCGCACAGCAGCAAGAGCCCCAGUGCCGCGGGCCUCGGGCCCAGCAGCAUCUCGCCGGCCCGCCGCGGACACGGAGGCAAGGAAGGAGACCGGCGGGGACUCAGCCCGUGGCAGCGCUCCGCGGGCCGCUGCAAACCGACAGUACGGCGUACGCGGGGAGGAGGGAACGCGAUGCAGAAGGGGCGGUGGCCGCCUUCCCCCGACCCCAAGGAGGCAGAAGCCCGAGAGACUACUGCGGUGGUGAAGCUGACCAGCCCGAGGCCUAAAUGGCCCUGGCGGAGGGGCGGGGCGCCAGGCCGCACCGCUGAUUGGGCCUUCCGGAGCUGGGGGCGGGCCACGGCGAUGAGGCGGUCGGCUGCCGGCGGAGCCUCUCCAUGGAGCUAGCGGUGGCUGCCGGGAGAAAUUAUAAUUGACCAGAAUCCUGGAAAAAGCCACGACAGCGGGGAGCAAACCCAAUGUGUAAAGCACUCAGAUCUGAACGGAUGCAACUGUGUUUCACACAAAUGAGAUACCCUCAUCAUCUCCUCAACAUGGGUGAAGUAAGUCGUCAUUGCCAUUUUAAAACCCAUCAUCUCUAGGAAAUUCAGUUUUCCCUAAUAAACUGCAUUUCUUAUGGUCUGGUAA